rnacentral:rRNA from 1 species
UACGUAGGGGGCUAGCGUUGUCCGGAAUCAUUGGGCGUAAAGCGCGUGUAGGCGGUCCGGUAAGUCCGCUGUGAAAGUCGAGGGCUCAACCCUCGAAUGCCGGUGGAUACUGUCGGGCUUAAGUACGGGAGAGGCGAGUGGAAUUCCUGGUGUAGCGGUGAAAUGCGCAGAUAUCUGGAGGAACACCGGUGGCGAAGGCGGCAUCCUGGACCAAUACUGACGCUGAGGAGCGAAAGCCAGGGGAGCAAACGGG